rnacentral:misc_RNA from 1 species
CCACGUUUGUCGAUACUUUGUUCAGUUUUGAAGAAGGUCUACUCUCAAAAUUUUGUUCUUUGAAAACUGGAUAUUGAAGUAAAAAUGUAAUUAAUACAAACCGAGAACACCGCGUUGAAUGAGUUUUUUAAUAAGUUCAAUUGCUUAUUUUUCUUGAUUGGACUUCUAUCGCUAGAAGAAAGAUCAAAACCCAACCGCAAGGUUGAUAAGGUUAAGUGAAUAAGGGCGCACGGUGGAUGCCUUGGCACUAGGAGCCGAUGAAGGACGGGACUAACACCGAUAUGCUUUGGGGAGCUGUACGUGAGCUAUGAUCCAGAGAUUUCCGAAUGGGAACCCGGACUUGGCACUAUGAGCCCAUGAACGACGGGACUAACACCGAUCUGCUUUGGGGAGCUGUACGUAAGCUAUGAUCCAUACAUUUCCGAACGGGAACCCGGAGUCAUCGACUGAUCGUGCACCUACAAUCGUCCGCGAAACAUCACUUCGCAUCUUGCUAGUCUGGAUAGACAGCAAGUUGCGUGAUUUCUGACAUCGUAAAGAGGAGAUCGAUCCGAGUUGGAUCGUGCAGCAAGCAAUUGCUACGCGAGACUUCAUUAUCUCCGGAUCAUUUCGGCGCUCGUGCGUCUUUCAAUGGUAGCUCACAAGGCUGCGCUGGAAAGACAAGCGAGUUGUAAAUGAUCCUUUUAGCGAAGCUUGACCGCCUCGCUAUCGGAACGAUCUUACGAAGCAAGCUGGUCUUUCUAAUCAUUGUCCGGCUGCAGAUAGCGUUCAUCGAGGGCGCGUGCCGCAAGGUAAUUCUGCAGACAACAUUCUGCCGAGUGUGUGGACAUUGAUAAUGAGAGCAAUCAAGUGCCUUAAGGGUGUUCGGUGGAUGCCUUGGCGCUGAGAGGCGAUGAAGGACGUGCUACGCUGCGAUAAGCCGUGGGGAGCUGCGAAGAAGCUUUGAUCCAUGGAUUU